UACCAGCACCCCGAGCGGUCGGGACGUUUAUUGGGCCUAAAGCAUCCGUAGCCGGUUCUACAAGUCUUCCGUUAAAUCCACCUGCUUAACAGAUGGGCUGCGGAAGAUACUAUAGAGCUAGGAGGCGGGAGAGGCAAGCGGUACUCGAUGGGUAGGGGUAAAAUCCGUUGAUCCAUUGAAGACCACCAGUGGCGAAGGCGGCUUGCCAGAACGCGCUCGACGGUGAGGGAUGAAAGCUGGGGGAGCAAACCGG
rnacentral:rRNA from 1 species